UUUAAAUGACUUGUUUGUUCAUAAUGAUUUUAAGAGGUUUGGAAUGCCCAAAUGGAGUGAAAAUUUAAAUCACCUUACAUAUGCUGAUGAUACUAUCAUAUUUGCUACAGCAAAAAGGAAUACAUUAUCUCUAAUCAUGAAAAUUUUGAAGGAUUAUGAAGAGCAGUCUGGGUAGAUGAUCAACAAGGAGAAGAGCUUUUUUUGUAUCUUCAACAAAGCUCCUCAUAGUGCUAUUCAAGAGGUCGAGGAUAUCACUGGUUUUAUGAAAGAAAAUUUUUCUUUGAUUUACCUUGGGUGUCCUAUUGGUCAUUCUAAGAGGAAGAAAGUUCAUUUUACUGGAUUAAUAAAGAAGAUACAAAAUAAACUUCUGUUGUGGAAAGAUACAGGUGAUAGAGGUCCUCAAUAGGCGCAUCGUUGAAGACUAAGACUCGUCCAGCUUUUGAUGUCAGGUGUAGGAACAAAAAGAGAUGGGCGGCCUAAUGGUAAAGGAGGAAAGUCAAGUAAAAGAAAGACACAGACAGUAGAGCAACAAACAGUUCAAUUUCCUUAUACAAUUCCAUCACAAUUCACUCAGUCUCAUACUGAUUCACUUUAUAUCAAUAACUCUUCCUUGCGUCAACCUAAUCUUGAAGUUAAUCAUUCCCAACCUCGUAACAAUGUUGUGCCUCCCAUAAUACUAUCACAAUCCCUCUAUUCCAAUAUUAGUCCAUUUCAUGUAAAUGAGUCUCCCUUACCUCAACCUAGUCUUGGGAUCAAUCAGCCUCAGCCUCCUAAACUUGAAUCUCAACCUCGAUCUAAUCAGUUCCAACCUAUAAAUCAAUAAUUUGAACCAUUGACGUCACCACCGGCUAAUAGGACUCCAGCACCCUCAUCUAGUACAAUUGACAAUAAUGUAAACGAUGAUCAUCAAAUAUGGAUUGUACCUGAAGAGGAUGGGUUAUAGGACUAACUUAUAAUAAUACAUAUAUUUAGGUGGACUAUUUAUAUGUUUAUAUGUUUGAUAACUAUUCUAUUUUAUGUAGGUUUGAUCCUCACAAGGUAGUUAUUGAUGGUAUUUCUAGUUGCAUUCGUAGUAAGUUUGAAUUGGCUAGACCUUCAUGGAAGAAGUUUUCAAAAUCUACUCACUUGACGUGGUUUGAGGAAUUCAAGAAAAAAUUUAAAUGGCUUCCUCACCAUAAUGAUGUUAUGUGGAGAAAUUUUCAGAAAAGGGCAUCUUCAAAAUUGACCCAACUUUUUCAAGAUGUUAGAAAACACUUGCCUUUGAAGCCACAUUGGAUGGGGGAUGCGGUAUUCAAGGAGAUGAAGAAGCAUUGGGAGUCAGAUGCGUUUAAGAAAAAGUCCGAACAAAAUAAAAAAAAAUCAUGAUUCAAAUGUUGGUGCAUCACUUCAUACAGGUGGUUGCGUUUCUCAUCGAUUGGUCUAUAAUAGAAUGAAAAAAGCUACUGGAAAAGAUCCUUCAAUUUCAGAAUUUUAUUUUCGAACUCAUCGCAAGAAAAGUGAUAAAAGUUGGGUAAAUGAGAAAGCUGAAGCUGCUUAAAAAUUCUCCAGUUGAAGUAGCUGAAACCAUUGCUUGUAGGAAAAAGUUUUGCUCCUUCUCAAGGCUUGCUUUGCUGCGUUCUCAGCUUUUACGACACACGUUUGAGAAUGAUAAAGUGUUUUUGGGAGUUGGACCUUGUUAAAUAAUGCUGAAGAAGUAAAAUGCUGAGCUGGAAAGUUAGUUGGAGUGAUGAGUUGGAAGUUAGUUACAAAUUAGACUUUGGGUUUGUUAGUUUGUUAUAACAGAAUUCAGUUACAAAGUUAGCUUGAAAGAUAAGCUAACAAUGCUCUAUAUAAGGGCAUGUGUAAUGCAUUGUUUACAUACACAAAAAUGAA